GUCCUUGUAGCGCAAUGGACAGCAUGUUGAACUUCUAAUACAAAGGUCGUGGGUUCAAAUCCCACUUAGGAUG